rnacentral:rRNA from 1 species
AUAAAAUUAAAGGGCUGCAGUAAUUUGACUGUACAAAGGUAGCAUAAUCAUUAGUCAUUUAAUUGAUGACUUGUAUGAAAGAUUGGAUGAAAUAUAGACUGUCUCUUAAUUAUAUAAUAGAAUUUAAUUUUUUAAUUAAAAAGUUAAAAUAAUUUAAAAAGACGAGAAGACCCUAUAGAGUUUUAUAAUUUUUUUAUUUAAAAUUUUUUGAUUUACAUAAAAUUAAUAUUAAAAAAAUUAUUUUGUUGGGGUGACAGAAAAAUAAAUAAAACUUUUUUUAUAAUUAAACAUAUAUAAGUGAGUAUUUGAUCCAAUAAUAUUGAUUAUAAGAAAAAAUUACCUUAGGGAUAACAGCGUAAUUUUUUUUUUUAGUUCGUAUAAAAAAAAGAGUUUGCGACCUCGAUGUUGGAUUAAGAUAAAAUUUAAAUGCAGAAG